rnacentral:tRNA from 1 species
AGGAUAAUAGCUCAGUGGUAGAGCACAUGCUUAGCAUGCACCAGGUCCUGGGUUCAAUCCUCAGUACUCCAU